AACGAACGCUGGCGGCAGGCCUAACACAUGCAAGUCGAGCGCCCUUUCGGGGGCGCGGCGGACGGGUGAGUAACGCGUGGGAAUAUGCCCUUCUCUACGGAAUAGCCUCGGGAAACUGAGAGUAAUACCGUAUACGCCCUGUGGGGGAAAGAUUUAUCGGGGAAGGAUUAGCCCGCGUUGGAUUAGGUAGUUGGUGGGGUAAUGGCCUACCAAGCCGACGAUCCAUAGCUGGUUUGAGAGGAUGAUCAGCCACACUGGGACUGAGACACGGCCCAGACUCCUACGGGAGGCAGCAGUGGGGAAUCUUAGACAAUGGGGGCAACCCUGAUCUAGCCAUGCCGCGUGAGUGAUGAAGGCCUUAGGGUUGUAAAGCUCUUUCAGCUGGAAGAUAAUGACGGUACCAGCAGAAGAAGCCCCGGCUAACUCCGUG
rnacentral:rRNA from 1 species